GAUGAACGCUAGCGGCAGGCCUAAUACAUGCAAGUCGAGCGGCAAGUCGAGGAGUAAUCUGAGACCUAGAGCGGCGUACGGGUGCGUAACGCGUAUGCAACCUACCUCAUACAGGGGGAUAGCCCGGAGAAAUCUGGAUUAAUACCCCAUAGCACAGCACAAGGGCAUCUGCGAGCUGUUAAAGAUUCAUCGGUAUGAGAUGGGCAUGCGUCUGAUUAGCUAGUUGGCGGUGUAACGGACCACCAAGGCGAUGAUCAGUAGGGGUUCUGAGAAGAAGGUCCCCCACACUGGCACUGAGAUACGGGCCAGACUCCUACGGGAGGCAGCAGUAGGGAAUAUUGGGCAAUGGACGAGAGUCUGACCCAGCCAGGCCGCGUGCAGGAAGAAGGCCUUCUGGGUUGUAAACUGCUUUUAUCUGGGAAGAAAAGGCCCAUGCGUGGGACAUUGCCGGUACCAGAUGAAUAAGCACCGGCUAACUCCGUGCCAGCCGCCGCGGUAA
rnacentral:rRNA from 1 species